ensembl:lncRNA
UUUUUUUUUUUCCUUUUUUUUUUUUUUUUUUUCAGUUUUCCUUUCUGUUCAGAAGACAGCACUUAGGACUGUAGAAAAUUCACACUUCUAGCAACAACAGAAUUUAACACAAACACAAUUUGAACUUCAGAUCAAAUAAUAAUGAAGAAAUAGAAUUGAAAUAAUAUAACUCAUAUAAUGCCUCCAUAUGACACAUCAAACAAGCUUCGUGCUAUGGAGUAGAUAGUGAGCUUUCAGAAUAAUUGAAAAAAAAUAGUGUUUAAGAAAGGAUCUUAGGACCUCUAAGAUAUUACUAAAAAAAAAAAAAGAAUGAGAUGGUGGUGUAGUCAGUUCAUACUUGACAUAAUUCUACAAGCAGUCCUCAUUUUAAUAUAUGGAACUGCUUCUUUGUGUUCAUAGAACAUCACCCUCAUAGUUUUGCAUUUCCAUAGGUCUAAAUGAAUUUCUUUUGCUUUGAUUAAAAUUUGCCAGUGAAAGUAGACUGGUGAAAGAAAGCAAUAACAAUCAGUGAGUAAGCAUUUUACAGCAAACAGAUAAAAUUAACAAAUAUUUUUAUCCUGUAAAUCAUUCAAGUAGAAUACUUACCCGUGUUAGGCAUGGUCUGGAAUGUCCUUCUAUCUAGUUCCCAUUACAUUAAAAAAAAUAUUAUUACAAACAAGAAGUUGGAGUAAGAUGAAAGAAAGUGUUAUUUACAAAUCAUUUGUUUUUCAAAUAGACAACAAAAAAUAAUCUGAGGACAGUUUUGUUUUGACCACAUUUGAAGUAUUUAAUGACAAAAAAAAAAAAAAAAAAAAGGAUUUCCAGUAGUUACGCAACAGAGCAGGUCCCACUUUGUUUCCCCAGAAUGGCACAAAAUUUCUACACCUCUGAGAACUUCUGAGGAAGGAAUUGGUUACAUAGAUACCAGCAACUAUUACAGUUUUGGCAAAUCAUAGCAAAACCUAUCAACCUUUACGAUCAUUUUUUAAAAGAGCAUAUUUUUGUUAAUAUUUCACAUAAUGCACAACUUCUUCUAGACUCCAAAAUAGCCUUUUAAGACAGAACUUGCAGCACAGUAGUUUCAAGUCUAACAAUGCAUUAUUUUUUUCUUUGUAGAACUUUAAAAAGAUAAAGAAACUAUUGAUGUUGUUACAAUAUACAAAUACAUUCUUUCAUAUGAAACAUUAACCUGAAUUAUAGUAUAUGUUAUGUAUAUCACUAUCUAAUAAUAUUAUGUUGUGUACACUACAAACUAAUUUCCAGGAGGAAAUUGCAAUGCUAUAAGAUUUAUCUUUGUAUGGACAUUUAUACACCUCUUUUUUUUUUUUUUUUCUUUUCUACGAACUACCAAAUCUAGUAGUUAAAUGAACAGCAAGAAGAAAGUGAAUACAUAAAUAACCCCCUUUUCCUUCAUUCACUAAGUUACUCAGAAUUUUGAUAGUAAAUGGCUUUUUAUGGCUGGAUCAAAGUCCUGAGUUAUGAUACAUAACACAAUACUAUUAACUGGGGGAUAUACAAAAAAAUCCUGAAGAACUGUCAUUGGGAUUAAAGCAAUGUUUUAGAGCAGUUGGACUCACAAAAGAUCUGGAGCUUAGCAGUGCAACUGUGACCUUGACCUUUUCAGCAGAUUUCAUGUAAAAGGCUGAAAAUCUAUCGCAUUUUUAUCUGAAUUUAGACCUAGGAUUUCAACAUUUCUUAUGAGUUAUUGACAAGCUCAUAAGGUCAGCUAAUGGUAGCAGUUCAAAAUCUCUGAAGAGGAGGACUUAGAAGUUACCAUGAGAAUA